rnacentral:rRNA from 1 species
UGAGGAAUAUUGGUCAAUGGACGAGAGUCUGAACCAGCCAAGUAGCGUGCAGGAUGACGGCCCUAUGGGUUGUAAACUGCUUUUGUUUGGGAAUAAAGUGAGGGACGUGUCCCUUAUUGCAUGUACCAUACGAAUAAGGACCGGCUAAUUCCGUGCCAGCAGCCGCGGUAAUACGGAAGGUCCAGGCGUUAUCCGGAUUUAUUGGGUUUAAAGGGAGCGUAGGCUGUUUGUUAAGCGUGUUGUGAAAUGUAGGAGCUCAACUUUUAGAUUGCAGCGCGAACUGGCAGACUUGAGUGCGCACAACGUAGGCGGAAUUCAUGGUGUAGCGGUGAAAUGCUUAGAUAUCAUGACGAACUCCGAUUGCGAAGGCAGCUUACGGGAGCGCAACUGACGCUAAAGCUCGAAGGUGCGGGUAUCGAACAGG